rnacentral:rRNA from 1 species
UUGCUCAAUGAAUAAUUUUAAAUAGCUGCAGUAUAAAUAACUGUACAAAGGUAGCAUAAUAAUUUGUUUUUUAAUUGAAAACUAGAAUGAAUGAUUAAAUGAAAUAUAAACUAUAUCAAAUUUAAAAAAUAAAUUUAUUAUUUAAAUAAAAAAAUUUAAAUAAUUUUUAAAGACGAGAAGACCCUAAAGAAUUUUAAUAAUAAAUUAUUAUAAUUAUAAAUAAUUUAUUAUAUUAAUUGGGGAAAUUUUAAAAUUUAAAAAAUUUUUAAUUAAAUAAACAUAAAUUUUUGAAUAAUUAAAAUUUUUUUAAAAAAUUAAAUAAAUUACCUUAGGGAUAACAGCAUAAUUUUUUUAAAAAG